rnacentral:Y_RNA from 1 species
GGCUGGUCCGAUUGUAGUGGGUUACCAGACUUAGUAACAUUGAUAUCACUAAAGUUAGUAUACAGCCCCCCACUGCUAAAUUAGACUGGCUGUAA